AUUGAACGCUGGCGGCAUGAUUUACACAUGCAAGUCGAACGGUAACAGGCCGCAAGGUGCUGACGAGUGGCGAACGGGUGAGUAAUGCAUCGGAACGUGCCCAGUCGUGGGGGAUAACUACUCGAAAGAGUAGCUAAUACCGCAUACGAUCUAUGGAUGAAAGCGGGGGACCGUAAGGCCUCGCGCGAUUGGAGCGGCCGAUGUCAGAUUAGGUAGUUGGUGGGGUAAAGGCUCACCAAGCCAACGAUCUGUAGCUGGUCUGAGAGGACGACCAGCCACACUGGGACUGGGAAACGGCCCAGACUCCUACGGGAGGCAGCAGUGGGGAAUUUUGGACAAUGGGCGCAAGCCUGAUCCAGCAAUGCCGCGUGCAGGAAGAAGGCCUUCGGGUUGUAAACUGCUUUUGUACGGAACGAAACGGCUCUGGUUAAUACCCGGGGCUAAUGACGGUACCGUAAGAAUAAGCACCGGCUAACUACGUG
rnacentral:rRNA from 1 species